rnacentral:rRNA from 1 species
CGGGACGGGUGAGUAACGCGUGGGUAACCUGCCUCAUACAGGGGGAUAACAGUUAGAAAUGACUGCUAAUACCGCAUAAGCGCACGAGGAUGCAUGUUCUUGUGUGAAAAACUCCGGUGGUAUGAGAUGGACCCGCGUCUGAUUAGCUAGUUGGAGGGGUAACGGCCCACCAAGGCGACGAUCAGUAGCCGACCUGAGAGGGUGACCGGCCACAUUGGGACUGAGACACGGCCCAAACUCCUACGGAAGGCAGCAG